CGGGUUCUGAGACUCCAACCGAAGGGAGGGGGAUGUUCAGAAUCGGGUGGGGCGGCCGUUGGAGCCCACUGAGCAUGCGCUCACGGCGGAGCGUCCCGAGGCGGAGGUAGUCUGUGAGUAGAAUGUAGAGGGAAAGUUCGCUCUACUUUUCUCAGCGUGGGACGCUACUUGGGCUGACGGAAAGGCGAUGGCCUGGGUGGGGAAUGGAGCGGCUGGGGAAGGAGAGCAAGGGAAGGGGAGAGGGGUUGUCUCCCUCUAAUCUUUUUCCUCAGAGGGGUAAAAAAAGUGGCCACUUGAGUUGGGGAGGAAGAGAUCAGCCAGAUUGGGGGAAGACGGUGGGGAAAAAAGGCGGGAAGAAGACUUCCAACCUCCUCUAGACAGCGUGCCUCGAUAACCUCAGCGCUUUUCCCACCCUCACUUACCCUGGCUGGGAAGAUUUGUUUCUCAAGACCUUUCCUUUCCCCCCUCCACACUCGCCCUCCCCCAGAAAACCCCCCUCCCCUCCCCAGUCCAUCCUUAUUAGCCCCUGUCAGAUUGGGAAGGAGACGCCGUGGAGAAGGAUUUGGCUUGCGAUCCUGCUCUGGGCGAGCUCCCACGGGGAAGGACGAGCCUCUUAGACGUCAGAACUCUCCGAAGGGGCCGACACGGGAUAUGUUCCUCGCGGAGCUGGCCCUCAAGCCUGGAGCACGGACCAUCGACGUCCGGUGGCCUUUUUGGUGGAAGGAAGGGGCAGAGCACAAGCUGCCGUUGCAGGAGAAUAUCUGGGAUCAAUAUGUAUACUUGAGAAAGACAGCCUGUGAACAUUGAAUUGGAAGUCUACUUCAUCAUCUCCCUGGGGUUGGAAAAUGCAUCACAUCCUUCAAAGAAAGAAACUCACCUUUCGAGGAGACUAGUAACAUGUCUCUGAAACUGGGCCCAAGUACUGCCUUCCAUUUCCUCAACUAGUCAACAUUUUUCUCCUCACCCCUAACAAUAUUCCUAAGUAAUAAUAAUAAAAAAAAAGCUGUUAUCUCCAUACUACCAGUGAGAUGGAUGACCACCACCAUUGACUGCUUGCUGUGGCUGUUUUAGCUGUGGCCUAAGUUGGGCACGGUGGAAGAUGGAUUGAGACAGAACUUACAUAACUGCAGUGCCAUGGAACAAUGUCGAGCCAGAAGAAUGGGACACAGACUGUUACUAUUGUGAGAGAACCUUUGGCUGGGACUGGACAGGAAUGGUAGUUCCUAUGAAAGUUGAGCUGCUGGUGAGAUCGUGCCAAGAAGACCGAUCCCAAACCUCAGUCCUUUUCUCCUGUUUCCUCUGGUUGGUUGUUCAUAGAGUUGAUAUCAGCAAGUUCCAGAAACAGUUCUUUCCUUUGUUCUUUGCCUUGUCUAUAAGUUGGAAGGAGGUUUCGGGGAAGACUCAAGGGAAGCAGUUUCUUUACAACUUUGCUAUGUGAUAGCUUCUUUACUGUGUUUUAAUAAACCAUGUGGCUGCUGAAAAGCAAGUUGUCUUGAGUGUUAUGAGGUUAGUUGACAGCUGAUUUCCCACAUAUGGGAUCAAGGUGGAACCACUGAGAGCCAAGGGAAUAUUUCCGUAAUUUAAUUUUUCUGCACAAUAUUUAUCUUCUUUUCCUCUAGAUUAUAAUUUGACAGUGCCUACUGAGGACAGCUAAACCUGCCCAGCUACACCCAUCGUGGUGAAGUGGGGAGGGAAAGGAGUGUAGAAUAGAGGGUCUGAGAGGUAUGGGUGAAUAGCAUUUGGGGAACAUUGGAUUGAUUGAAACCGCCUGGAAAGCAUGCACAUGCGUGUUGCAUAUGCCUUGAUGAAAACAUUUGGCUGGUAGCUUGAGCAUAUCUCCACCUAGUGAAAAAAGGGCCUAUUACACUCCCUCUCUGGCUAAUUAAUUGACAGUCUGCUUUUUUUGUAGGUUGAAGAAAGCAUGUAUUCCAGCUAAGUGUGAGCUGCUUUUCAUAUUGCCAGAUGUAGGACAUAUGUCAGCUAUCUAUUUUGCACCAGUCACAUCUAUUUUGUUUUAAUGAUUUCUUUUCAUUAUUUCAAUUUUCCUGUACAUUUCUAGGCUAUAUAGCAAUAAAUAUUUAGUAUUGUUUUAGGAAAUUUUAUAAGAUUGUGCUGUUAGUGAUUGAGAAAGCAUAUUACUGUGAGAGUGGCAUCCUCUUUGAGGAUCAAAGUACCAUGGAUGCUUUAUUGAUUGGAAAUGUUAAAUAGUCACACUUGCAUUAGCUUGUAAGCCUAUUUUGUUCUUGGUUCUAUACAUUUGACAGUAUACUUUUAUUUUAGCAGCCAUAAUAAAUUGAGAAACCAGGCUGGUGCUAGACAUUAUUAAUGUGGCAGGCAUGUUGUUGAAUUGGCAAGCUACCAAGGGAAGAUGGACCAUAGGUUCCUUAUUGAGUGUUUAUGGACUUUAGUCUGUAUGCUGGCCUUGAAAGUACAUUCUGACUGCUGAAUUGGUUCUGAGUGGAUAUUUAGGAGUAGUGAUAAGGAUUCAGGAAAUAGUCUCAUAAAGCUUUUGGCUAUACUUUUCUAAAGAUACUUAUUGUUUUCAUUUUCUUGAAAGUGGCACCCCCCAUGCAGGGGAAGGUGUAAAUAGCAUAUUGGAUGUAAAACAUCUGCAUAUAUAAAUUUAAAUAACUCCUAGAUCCAGGUUUGGAUCCUACCUGUCACUGCUUUUAAAGUGGAAGGGAGAACAGAAAAAAAUCUUGCCCAUAGUGCCUUAAAAGCAGUCUUUGAAAGAAAAAAAGAAAUCACCAGAGAUUAUUUUAUAAAUGGAAAGAACAAAAAAAAUGCUCUUUGGCUAACAGGGCAUUGCAUGAAAUUGGCAGUUCUGAAUCCAAAUUUAACCAGUGUCAAAAUAAGAAUGAAAGACACUAUCUAGCAAAACUUUUUGAUGUCAGGUCUAAUUCUUUACCCUGUAGGUAGAACACAAUGUCAUCACUUUGUCAUGGCAUUGACCUGUUAGCUGAUUAUGUGGUAAAAGAUUAGUAAGGCAAAGAUGGCGUGACGGUCAUCUAAGUAAUGAUUUAGCCAUUAUUUUAAUCUAUAUCCUGAAGUCAAAAACUAAUAUCCCUCUUGAAAUUUCUGGAGAGUGAUGCUGUAGUAGCAUUAAAACUGGCAGUAAAAUGGGAUUCUCUACACUUAGGGAGAUGUUCUCAAAUAACCAUAGAAUGAAAAGCCACUCCUUUAUUUCACCUUGCCUAUAUAUUAAGUAAGCCUGAUCUUUAGUCCAAAUGAGUAUCACCGUGAAAAGUCAAUACCCCACGAGGGAGAAAUUUUACUGGAGCAAGGGGAUAAUGCUUUGCUUGACUGAGAUUUUAAACAAAAUAAGCAACCAUAGCCACAUGUUAUUUGGAAGGAAAUGGUGAGAGCAGGAUCUCGGUAUCUGUGAUGAAUACUCCUCCAUAAUUCAGAGCCAGGUGUGCAUUUGUUGUAAGGGGAGAAUAACCUGACAGGAAAGUUGGGAUAGGGUUAUCGGCAGUUGAAUAAUUACUCUUAUGGUUUCUCCCUACAUAAGAGACAUUUAAAUUUACAGCUGGCUGGCCCCAUGUAUCUCUUAAGCAUUUUAUUUUUUUCUAAAGUCUUGGUGAUAACUUUUGAUUUCGCCAUUUCAUUGAUUUCUUUAUUCUCCCCCACUCAGUGAAGUUUUCCUGUAAGACAGAUUGAGCAAUUUUUAAAGCAAAACCAACCCAUUAGCUGUAUCUGACAGAAUGUACAAAUUUUCUUAUUCAUUUGGUGCCAAACUUGCUCAAUAUAAUUAUAGAAAACUCAGUUUUGUCAUAUUCUUUACAUGUGUUAUAAUCAUGUAUGUUGUUUUUUGGUUCUGUUUAUCUUGUAUCAGUUCAUAGAGAAGCCUUUCCAUGUUUAUUUAAAUUGUUCAUUAUCCCCUUUUUUAUGGUGCAAUAGUAUUUCAUUCCAUUUGUGUACUACAAUUUAUUAAUACAUUCUCCAAUUGAUGGGUACCUUCUUUAUUGCUAGUUUUUUGCUGCCACAAAAGUGUCACCAUUAAUAUUUAUGUAUAUUUAAGAUCUUUCUUUUUGACUUCUUUGGGAUAGUAUAUAUGUAGCAAUAGGAUCUCUAGGUCCAAGAGUAUAGGGCAUUUAAAUCACUUUUUGUUGUUGCAUAACUCUUAAUCAUGCUUGAACUAAUUUACAGCUAUAGUAUCUUUCACAGCAUCUCUAAUAUUAAAUAAUUCCAUCUUUUGCUACCUUUGCAAGUUUGCUGGGUGUGAGGUGAAACCUGAAUUUAUUCACUUGCAUUUUUCUUCAUAACAAUUUCAAGUAAUCU